rnacentral:rRNA from 1 species
UUUAACGGCCGCGGUAUCCUAACCGUGCAAAGGUAGCGUAAUCACUUGUCUUCCAAAUAAAGACCAGUAUGAAUGGCUAAAUGAGGACCAUCCUGUCUCCUUUAACUAAUCAGUGAAACUGAUCUACCAGUACAAAAGCUGGUAUAGUAUCAUAAGACGAGAAGACCCCGUGGAGCUUUAAACCACAUACCAAGUAAACUAACAACAUUUAUCACCUUUGGCAGAAGGUUUUAAGUUGGGGCGACUUCGGAACAAAACAAACUUCCGAGCAUAAAGAUAUUAUCUAACCAAGACCCACAAGUCGAAGCAAAACUUGACCCAGCAUUUGCUGACUACCGAACCAAGUUACCCCGGGGAUAACAGCGCCAUCUUCUUCAAGAGUCCAUAUCGACAAGAAGGUUUACGACCUCGAUGUUGGAUCAGGACACCCAAAUGGUGUAACCGCUAUUAAAGGUUC